GACUAAUUACUACUCCUCUCUUUGUAGCCAUUUGUCCCGGGUUUGCCACAGCUCACUAUAUCAACGUUGCUGCAUACUAACCAACAAUUCCAAAUUUCAUCUGAGAUGGUUAUCUCUUUCAGUGGUGAUGGAAGGUGAGAACAGCCCACGCACCAAGAACUUAAAGGAGUGUGUCUCGGAGCCUGAGAACCAGCUGGAAGGGGAGCCUGAUGAUUCAAAUAUGAUGCUAAGCAAUCAGGAGAUAAGGAUCCCUUCACUCAAGGCCUCAACCACACAUUGACUAGAAGCCGUUUUAAUGCAGCCUGCUGAACUGUCUCCACAUGGCCUUUGCCAUACACCAGCUGAGAGCUCAGUUCCUGGGACCUGCUGUAUGUGCCUACCAUUUCUGAAGCAGGAGGAGAGACAAGGAAGACAAGAAGGAUGAAAGAGCCACGCUGAAAGGAAAAGGAGAAGAGAACAGGCAGCAGAGAUGUAAGCUCUCCCAAUAAAUCCUUGCUUCAAGUAGAGACCCCAACAACCAGUAGUCUAGUAGCAUCCCCUCCAAUCUGUCACGGAGAUAAGGCUGGGACUCUUUUCCUUCCCUACCUGGAAUACUGCAAGCCCCUCAAGACUCUGUGCUUUCAACUCAAUUCCUGCCGCAGCCACAUUUCCUCCUCCAGCCAGCCUAUAGUGUGGAUUCCCCAAGCAGUGAGCCCUAUUAUAGUGAGCCUGUCCUCCUGCUGAACUACUUCAUUGCUAUACCUUUUGUGGCACAUGCGCGUGCGCACAAACAGUUCUUCUCUAUUGGUGAUUUCUUUCUACACUCCUGCUGGCAUUUUUAAAUAAACUUGAAUUGUGCCUGUUCUCACGUUGUGCUUUGUGGGAUCCCACUGAACAGCUCACAUAGUACCAGUCACAUGGUACCUUCCAAGUCCCCCCG